rnacentral:lncRNA from 1 species
AGUUAAGACAAUGAUGUUACAGUGCUUCCUAUCAAAGAAAACUGAGGUUACUAAUUAUUUGUAUCUUGUUGCAGAAAAAUUGGACCAGGCUUUCUGAAGAGACAAUCUGCCUCAACCAGGUAAUCAAGUUGAAAAAUACUGCACACAGUGACCCACUCUCAGAAACUUGCAAUGGGCAUGAACUUAUUAAAGACUCUGACCUGGGUCCAGACGUUGGGAGCAAUCCGGUGGCCUGAUGCAGACUGAGCUUAAUAGAAUAUUUUGUAUAGAAUGUGUGGCACUUGCCUUGGAUGAAUCUAUGUGGUUGGAUCACCUAAAGCGAUACUCAUUGAGCUUACAAUACAUGUCAUAAACAUGCUUCUUUAUAAACGUUUGUUUCAUAAAUGUUGGGCUGUGUGUUCUGAGGCUUGCGUUCAUUACGACUUAGUAGCAGAGUUGUAGAGGCGCUAACCCUCACCCACCUCUAAUCCUCAGGAACAACCAUUAUCUACUAAACUUAACUAAGAUAUUUGUUCAAGGUGGGCGUUAUCUGUCAUCACCCAAGAGGAUAAUACACUGUAAAUGUCAUAGCAAGUUGGUGAUUUAAGUCACUCAAAA